GAGACACCCUUAUGGGGCAGGACUUACUUCAGUGGGGCUUUGGUGCUCACUCAAUCAGCCCCUUGAGUGUAUCACU
rnacentral:pre_miRNA from 1 species